rnacentral:rRNA from 1 species
AUUGAACGCUGGCGGCAGGCCUAACACAUGCAAGUCGAGCGAGCGGCGGACGGGUGAGUAAUGUGUGGGAAACUGCCUGUUGGAGGGGGAUAACUACUGGAAACGGUAGCUAAUACCGCAUACCAUCAGAUGUGCCCAGCUGGGGUUCGCUCGGAGGUGGGGUAACGGCUCACCUAGGCGACGAUCCCGAGCUGGUCUGGGAGGAUGACCAGCCACACUGGGACUGAGACACGGUCCAGACUCCUACGGGAGGCAGCAGUGGGGAAUAUUGCACAAUGGGCGCAAGCCUGAUGCAGCCAUGCCGCGUGUGUGAAGAAGGCCUUCGGGUUGUAAAGCACUUUCAGCGGGGAGGCGUUACCCGCAGAAGAAGCACCGGCUAACUCCGUGCCAGCAGCCGCGGUAAUAC